CUUGUCUCUCAAUCUAUAGGAUUGGCAUUAUAAAUUGUUUUUGUUGUUGUGGCUACUGCUGCUGUUGUCCCUUCAAUAUACACAAAUUGUAUAAAUGUAUAUGGAAUACUAUUUACGUUAAUGUAGAAAAUUAGAGAGUUUGGGAUUUUGGAUUCGGGAUCGGAUCAGGGGGUUUCUGGUACAAAAAUUAGUUUGCUAUGAAAGUUCUCGCAGGUUAAGAGUGUUUCUGUUGGGUUUCGAAGCUGAACACUGGAAUCGCUGCUGCAAGGAAGAAAACAUAAAGAGAAGAGAAGAAGUAUAUGGUUUGCGGUUAGUUAAAACAUUAGUUAUAGUUUUAGUUUAUUUAGGACAAGGUCUACAAUGCGGUGGUCACAUAGUGGCACAUGAUCGGCAAAUGUUACAUUUGGAAUUAGGUAGGCAAAUGAUAUGGAUAAGUGGUCGCUCGCUCCGUCCGCCCUAUGUCUGUCUGUCUGGUCUGUCUAUCGGUCUUCUCUGUCUCUCUGUAGGGAACAAAGAGCCGACUAGCUGCUGGCCUGGCGGCAAAGCAGUGCAGGGGCACGCACACACGUGCGCACACUCACACACACACACGCACAGAAUGAACUAAAGAGAGAGAGGGACGGGCCCAAGAUCCGUUUCCUCGCAAAUUUAACAAAGCAAAUGUCACAAAAUUGCAGUGUAAGCAAAACAUUUUAUUUGAUAUUACUGCAUAAACUAUUAUACACCAUAACGAGAGCGGCAUCGGUAGGAACUACUCUUUUCCGGGAGCAAACGCAAUGUAGAACACUGGCGCACACGCACACAGAGACACGGAAGAGGGCGAAAGACAAAAUGAAAACCAACUAGAGGAGAGGAUGAAUGACCGUCGAUAACAAAAUACAUAAUGGAAAACAUGGAGAAAGAGUUGGGAAAUUGGCGAAACCGAAACCGGCCAAGGCAGCGGCGGCAGUUCGACAGCAGCGCCGAAAUACAUUUCGGCGAAUCAAGUCGAAUUCGAAAUAAAAUUUAAAUUUGCAUGGCAC